GGCGGCGUAGCCAAGUGGUAAGGCAGGGGUCUGCAAAACCCUUAUUCAUCGGUUCGAUUCCGAUCGCCGCCUCCA
rnacentral:tRNA from 1 species